rnacentral:rRNA from 1 species
CCUACGGGAGGCAGCAGUGAGGAAUAUUGGUCAAUGGACGAGAGUCUGAACCAGCCAAGUAGCGUGAAGGAUGACUGCCCUAUGGGUUGUAAACUUCUUUUAUAAAGGAAUAAAACGAGCCACGUGUGCCGUUUUGCAUGUACUUUAUGAAUAAGGAUCGGCUAACUCCGUGCCAGCAGCCGCGGUAAUACGGAGGAUGCGAGCGUUAUCCGGAUUUAUUGGGUUUAAAGGGAGCGUAGAUGGGUUGUUAAGUCAGUUGUGAAAGUUUGGGGCUCAACCCUAAAAUUGCAAUUGAUACUGGCAGUCUUGAGUGCAGUUGAGGUAAGCGGAAUGCGUGGUGUAGCGGUGAAAUGCUUAGAUAUCACGAAGAACCCCGAUUGCGAAGGCAGCUGACUAGACUGUGACUGACAUUGAUGCUCGAAAGUGUGGGUAUCAAACAGGAUUAGAUACCCCAGUAGUC